rnacentral:lncRNA from 1 species
AAAGCAUGGAUUCAGAGUAUUUCCUUGGACUUUCGCCCCUUGGUGCCUUUGGUGAGGCUAAGGUGAUCAAAGGCUCUUGCCUUGGGUGCUCUUGUUCCCUUGGCAGAGUUGAUGCAGAGGUGAAAGAGGCGGCAGAAGUAGCUCUUGCCUUGCUUCGAGUCGUGAUGCCUAAAGUGACACCACUUGCGACGAUGACGCUCUUGUUCUUUACGCCAGUUGCGGGAACAGUUUGAGCCUUCCUUGAUGCCAUUAAUUUUGGAAGUGUGCUCGAAUUUCUUGAACGGAGAAAGAGAUGAGAGGUAGAGAUGGUCCCACUGGGCGUGCCAAUUUGUGAACACGAAAAUUUCCUGAAAACGAAAGAGACAAGAACAACGUGCACAAACAAAUAUUUGUAUUUGAUGAUUUUGGGUUACAAUCUCUCUCUAUUUUGAUCCUCUGAUUCGAUCUCCGUAAGGUGUUGAUUUGUGGAUGUUUCGUUGAUCCAAGGGCCGUCGAGGCUUGAUCUUGGAUGAACUGUUGGAAGUUUCUUCAAGGGGGCCCUGGGCUUGAUCUUUGAAGGUGGAUUUGAGCGGAUCUUCAAGGAGCCGUUGGGGUUUGAUCUUGAGGAUGAGUGUUUCUUCAAGGGCCGUUAAGGCUUGAUCUUGAAUAACGGUGAUGAACGGAUCUUCAAGGGCUUUUGGGCUUGAUCUUGAAGAACGGUUGGAUGUAUGGAUUUGUUGAUGUUUGUUGAUCUAAAGGGCCGUUGGGGCUUGAUCUUAGGAUGAACGGAUGAUGAACGAUGGUGCUUUCUUCAAGGGUCGUCGGGGCUUGAUCUUGAAUUGGUGGAAGUUCUUCAAGGGCCUUUGGGGCUUGAUCUUAGGAUGAACGGAUGAUGAACGAUGGUGCUUUCUUCAAGGGUCGUCGGGGCUUGAUCUUGAAUUGGUGGAAGUUCUUCAAGGGCCUUUGGGGCUUGAUCUUGAAUUGGUGGAUGGUUGAUCCAAGGGCCAUCGGGGCUUGAUCUUGGAAUAACGAUGAACGAGGAAUGAAGAACACUUUCGUCAAGGGCCGUCGGGGCUUGAUCUUGAAUUAGUGGAUGAUUGUUGAUCCAAAUGGCCGUUGGGGCUUGAUCUUGGAAGAACGAUGAACGAAGAACGAAGAACACUUUCUUCAAGGGCCGUCGGGGCUUGAUCUUGAAUUGGUGGAUGAUUGUUGAUCCAAAGGGGUUGUUUGGUCUUGAUCUUGGAAGAACGAUGAACGAAGAACGAAGAACGUUUUCUUGAUUCUUCGGGAACCUGGAUGCUUGAGAGCUUCGGAGUUUCAGAGCUUCAGAGCUUCAAGAAUUUUGCCUAAUGAUUUUGGUUCCCCUCAAAUGAAUGAAUUAGCCUUCUAUUUAUAGAAAUUUCCAAGGCCUAAUUUUGAAUAUAAUAUUCCAGAUGAAAUAAGUCGUUUCUGCCAGGUGUUGACACGUGUCCUGUUUGAUGACUUUUCCAACUUAUUUUGAUUUUUUGUUUAGACACACGCUACGUGUAAAAUUUAUGUAAUACAUGAGCGUUGACACUUUGAUUUAUCGGUCAACAUUUAUUUACCGAAAUUUCGAUGUCUACAAAAGCAUUUCAGAAUAUACCAUAACUGGAACCGCAUUCCCCAUGUCUUUCACUUUUUUCUUUCUAAUUAAUUCAAACGACGAAGAUUGGUUUGCCAGCUAAUCAUAAUCAUGGACCAAGAGCACCGAGGUAAAUCUCUACUGUUAUAAAGCCAGAACCUCCUAGUUAACUUCACUAGGGUCCAUAAUUAUUAUUUACCUCGGGUACGAAGACCACUUUUGACUUAGCUAAAUUUAGUGUGUAUUAAUUUUGUUCGCUCCCUAAAUUCGCCAUGGGCUCGUUGGCAUGCCGGGAAUUUACUUGACCAGGAAAUUAGCGGGUGUGGGCAUGCCACUACUAGAUGGCGCUAGUAGACGGGAUUUGAAAGAUUGAUGUUGCGCUUAAGUUCGACUUCUAACCAAGAGAUUGUGCAUUUGAGUGGGAGUGGCUCAAAUCAAGGUUAUUUCUUUGCCUGAAAGAUAAGGACUUAUAUGGAGAAAUGUAACAACAUGUAAAUGAGAAGGUUGAUGGAGUAAAUGACAGAGGAAAGUAAAUUACUAGUAUUGUAAAUUGCUUGUAAACUAAAUGAUUGGAAAUGAGUUGUACAGAAAUGUAUUUAUUUAAAGUACAAAGCAUUUGAUAGGGAUUUUACCACUUGCAAAAGUAGGGAUAAAAACACUUUAAAAUACUUGCAAAAGUACAAGGUUAUCGUAGUAUAGCAGCACAAGCAAGGUCGAUCUCCACAAGAAUUGAAUGAAUAAUUUAUGUUAAAACCAAAUCUUAAUUAAUUAUUUGAAAACAAAGUUUGGAAGAUGGUGGUUUUAUGACCUAAAAUAUUGAAAACGAAUUUAAUUAAAAACAAUUAAAUAAAUUGGGAAAAUAAAUAAAACAAAAGAAAAUAGUUUUGAAAAUAAAUUUGAGCACUAGGUUUCCGUCGUCAUCAUAACAAUCCUACGUAGUUCUUCCAAUUACUUAUGAAUUACACAUGCAUAUUUUAAAGGUUAGGUUUUCCUAAAGUAUAUCCUACUUGGAACCUCCAACAUAGAACGUAUAUCUAACAUGCAACAUUUUUGUGGCGUCCAAAUCGAAUGUGAACAUGCAAGACUCAUUAAGUUUUGUGAAAACCUUUUGAAAAACCAUAUAACCGUUAAAACGUGUCAUCCAUCCUAAAAGGUUACACAUAUUAACCACAAGAAGCCAGCGCCAAUUUCAGGGACAACCCUCCGCCAAAAUUGCAUCAAAUUACUUUUCUAAAUAUCCUAAUGGUGGCCAAUCAUCAAGACAAUUAGAUAGUUUAAAACACGGUGAUUAAUAAUUCAAAACUUGCAUGCAUAAUAUCAUAAGUAAAUUGAAAAGAAGCUACAUAUUCUUGCUAAGGCUCAUGACGAACAAUCAUAAAACUAGUUACGAACAAUCAUAAAACAAAAUAUUAUUAAAGACAUGGAUAGAAAACACCUUGAAAUUAAACUUGAAUUGUCAAAAGCCCUCUAAAGCCAAAGUAUUGUGUUCUCCCUUUCCCUUUAACCUAAUGGCUAAAUAUCUUAUUUAUACUAAUACAAAAUAAAACCCUAAAAGGUCUUAGAAUAAAACUAGGAAACCUAAUAAAUUGAAAUAAAAUAGGAAACAUAAUCCUAAAUUAACAUGGUAAAUUCGCCCAAAAAUCUGUACAGCCACGUUUUGAACCCAAAUCAGCUCCAAAACUGGCCCAAAAUAGCUGGAUUUAAAGCUUAGACUAUUUUGAACACUUCUUCAGAAGGCCACAAACUCAUCUGAGGUCAUAUUAGGCUCCAAAAACGCAGUUUAAGCCCAGAAACUUCACUUUCCAGCAACACGCACUGCUCCUUCAUUUAAUCAUCAGAAAAUAAUCGCUUGGUAAAAAUUACUGAGAUUUUGACACGAAUAAGCUAAGGAACUGUUGACCCUAGAAAUUACAAAGCCUACGUGGCGCGCAGGCCGAGUAUAUUCUAAGCUAACUAC